rnacentral:rRNA from 2 species
CUCAGGAUGAACGCUGGCGGCGUGCCUAAUACAUGCAAGUCGAGCGAACUGAUUAGAAGCUUGCUUCUAUGACGUUAGCGGCGGACGGGUGAGUAACACGUGGGCAACCUGCCUGUAAGACUGGGAUAACUUCGGGAAACCGAAGCUAAUACCGGAUAGGAUCUUCUCCUUCAUGGGAGAUGAUUGAAAGAUGGUUUCGGCUAUCACUUACAGAUGGGCCCGCGGUGCAUUAGCUAGUUGGUGAGGUAACGGCUCACCAAGGCAACGAUGCAUAGCCGACCUGAGAGGGUGAUCGGCCACACUGGGACUGAGACACGGCCCAGACUCCUACGGGAGGCAGCAGUAGGGAAUCUUCCGCAAUGGACGAAAGUCUGACGGAGCAACGCCGCGUGAGUGAUGAAGGCUUUCGGGUCGUAAAACUCUGUUGUUAGGGAAGAACAAGUACGAGAGUAACUGCUCANNNUANGUACCUUGACGGUACCUAACCAGAAAGCCACGGCUAACUACGUGCCAGCA